AACGAACGCUGGCGGCGCGCCUAAUACAUGCAAGUCGAGCGAGAAGGUGUAGCAAUACACUUGUAAAGCGGCGAACGGGUGAGGAAUACAUGGGUAACCUACCCUCGAGUGGGGAAUAACUAGCCGAAAGGUUAGCUAAUACCGCGUACGCUUCCGGAACUGCGGUUCCGGAAGGAAAGCGAUACUGUGAGUAUCGCGCUCUUGGAUGGGCUCAUGUCCUAUCAGCUUGUUGGUGAGGUAACGGCUCACCAAGGCUUCGACGGGUAGCUGGUCUGAGAGGACGAUCAGCCACACUGGCACUGCGACACGGGCCAGACUCCUACGGGAGGCAGCAGUAAGGAAUAUUGCGCAAUGGACGACAGUCUGACGCAGCGACGCCGCGUGGGGGACGAAGGUCUUCGGAUUGU
rnacentral:rRNA from 1 species